UCCAGACUCCUACGGGAGGCAGCAGUGGGGAAUAUUGCACAAUGGGGGAAACCCUGAUGCAGCGACGCCGCGUGAGCGAUGAAGUAUUUCGGUAUGUAAAGCUCUAUCAGCAGGGAAGAAAAUGACGGUACCUGACUAAGAAGCCCCGGCUAACUACGUGCCAGCAGCCGCGGUAAUACGUAGGGGGCAAGCGUUAUCCGGAUUUACUGGGUGUAAAGGGAGCGUAGGCGGCACGGCAAGCCUGAUGUGAAAGCCCGCGGCCCAACCGCGGGACUGCAUUUGGAACUGUGUAGCUGGAGUGUCGGAGAGGCAGGCGGAAUUCCUAGUGUAGCGGUGAAAUGCGUAGAUAUUAGGAGGAACACCAGUGGCGAAGGCGGCCUGCUGGACGAUGACUGACGUUGAGGCUCGAAAGCGUGGGGAGCAAACAGGAUUAGAUACCCCAGUAC
rnacentral:rRNA from 1 species